GGUGACGUUUGGUUGCGAUUCCGGAUAAUAUAUUUUCCGAAACUCAAUAUAAUUUGAAAUUUGUACAGUAGAGACCGAGCCCGAAAAUGGUUUGCCUGCUUCAAUUACCACACUUGGUGUGAUUUUUUCCAACCCACUAUGGGGCGCGGCUCCAGGUGAUUUGCUCUUCCCGAUAACUGUCACGGUCUGCACCAGUUGCCAGCGGCGUCUCAGAGGUCCAGCUCCAAAUCUCUACGCUUUGACUAGCAUGUCGCCUUCCACGCAUGAGGAUUCUCUUCCUCCGAAGUCCUUGUUCAAUGAUCUGGUGCAAAAGAUGGCAACCGAGAUACCCAAAAACCUGAAGGCUGUGUAUUACCAGAUUACAAACAGAGUUAGCUGCCAUUGUUAUUGAGAACCGGUGCAGACGAUUGAGUCUCUUUUCGAUGUAGAUUAGAGCCGAGAGAGACUGCGAGUAGCCUUGAAAUCAUGGCUGACGGAGGCAGUUCGGCGGCUUGCCGAACCCAACUGAAGUGGUGAGGGCAGACUCAAGGAAAUAUAUUAUGUCUUUCCAUUUUUCGACAGCUGCAUACUUAUAUAUGUAGAGCACUAAGAAAGAACAACCUCAAUGAAACCCCACGAACUCAUAUAUGAGGUAGCUCUACAAGUAAACUCUUACUCCUGUGGUAGAAGCCA
rnacentral:sRNA from 1 species